rnacentral:rRNA from 1 species
GCGGCGGACGGGUGAGUAAUGCUUAGGAAUCUGCCUAUUAGUGGGGGACAACAUUCCGAAAGGAAUGCUAAUACCGCAUACGCCCUACGGGGGAAAGCAGGGGAUCUUCGGACCUUGCGCUAAUAGAUGAGCCUAAGUCGGAUUAGCUAGUUGGUGGGGUAAAGGCCUACCAAGGCGACGAUCUGUAGCGGGUCUGAGAGGAUGAUCCGCCACACUGGGACUGAGACACGGCCCAGACUCCUACGGGAGGCAGCAGUGGGGAAUAUUGGACAAUGGGCGCAAGCCUGAUCCAGCCAUGCCGCGUGUGUGAAGAAGGCCUUUUGGUUGUAAAGCACUUUAAGCGAGGAGGAGGCUACUUAGAUUAAUACUCUAGGAUAGUGGACGUUACUCGCAGAAUAAGCACCGGCUAACUCUGUGCCAGCAGCCGCGGUAAUACAGAGGGUGCAAGCGUUAAUCGGAUUUACUGGGCGUAAAGCGUGCGUAGGUGGUCUUUUAAGUCGGAUGUGAAAUCCCUGAGCUUAACUUAGGAAUUGCAUUCGAUACUGGGAAGCUAGAGUAUGGGAGAGGAUGGUAGAAUUCCAGGUGUAGCGGUGAAAUGCGUAGAGAUCUGGAGGAAUACCGAUGGCGAAGGCAGCCAUCUGGCCUAAUACUGACGCUGAGGUACGAAAGCAUGGGGAGCAAACAGGAUUAGAUACCCUGGUAGUCCAUGCCGUAAACGAUGUCUACUAGCCGUUGGGGCCUUUGAGGCUUUAGUGGCGCAGCUAACGCGAUAAGUAGACCGCCUGGGGAGUACGGUCGCAAGACUAAAACUCAAAUGAAUUGACGGGGGCCCGCACAAGCGGUGGAGCAUGUGGUUUAA